CAGAGGGUGGGGAAACACACUCCAGUGAGAAGGAAGGAGGCGCAGGUGUGAGGAACUGGGAUUCUUCGGGGAAACUUACCACCUACCUAUGAGGAAGCUGAGACUCAGAUAUUCACUUUUGAAUGAACUCUCCUCUGAUCGCUCAGUUUUGUAGUGGCAGAUCCAUGGCCCAGGCCCAGAUCAGAGAGAAGGAAGCAAGAAGGAUCUAAAGUCAAAAGGCAG